GAGUUUGAUCAUGGCUCAGAUUGAACGCUGGCGGCAUGCCUUACACAUGCAAGUCGAACGGCAGCACGGGAGCUUGCUCCUGGGUGGCGAGUGGCGAACGGGUGAGUAAUGCAUCGGAACGUAGUCCUGGAGUGGGGGAUAACGUAGCGAAAGUUACGCUAAUACCGCAUAUCCUGUGAGCAGGAAAGCGGGGGACCUUCGGGCCUCGCGCUCUUGGAGCGGCCGAUGUCGGAUUAGCUAGUUGGUGAGGUAAAGGCUCACCAAGGCGACGAUCCGUAGCAGGUCUGAGAGGAUGAUCUGCCACACUGGAACUGAGACACGGUCCAGA
rnacentral:rRNA from 1 species